CGUCAGCUCAGAGGGAGAGGAGACGAGGGGAAUUUCAGCUGUCCUGUUCUCUCACGUAAGCUCAGAGGGAGAGGAGACAAGGGGAAUUUCGACUGUUGACUUGAAAAGCAUCCUUGGUGUUGUUCAGUAUUCUCAUGUGAGGUGUGUGUGUGCGUAUCUUACAGGUUUCUCGAGGAAACUGUUAAUUGUUAAUUAUUUAUAUCCUAUUAUAGGUAUUAUUUACAUCCUGAGACUGGCCUCUAAGACUUCCUGUUCCUGUUCAGACAGGAAGCUGUCACCAUAGAUCAUGCAGUAGUCAGUGCUGAGCAACUACUACAGGAACUGCACACACAAACAUGCACGCAGGCAUGCACGCACAUACACACACAUCCUCUAUGAGGACAUGGAGCGAGCAGCUUUGGUUUCGUGACAAAACAGACCAAAUCAGAGAUGAGGAACUAGAUCCCUCAGGCUGGGGGGGCAUGCUGUCGUGUGUGUGUGUCCUCAUUUCCUUGUGUCCUCUCCUUACCUCUUCUCUUCCUGUUCUUUCCAUCAUCUGCUCUAAGAAUAGAAUAUGGAGGACCAGCUCUUUAAGAUGUUCAGCUCUUUCAGAUCAGCGCAAAUGGAGGAGGAGAUGACGGAAGGACCUGAGCCCUAGGACCAUGCCUCAGGACUACCUGACAUGAUGACUCCUUGCUGUCCCCAGUCCACCUGGCUGUGCUGCUGCUCCAGUUUCAACUGUUCUGCCUUAUUAUUAUUGGACCAUGCUGGUCAUUUAUGAACAUUUGAACAUCUUGGCCAUAUUCUGUUAUAAUCUCCACCCGGCACAGCCAGAAGAGGACUGGCCACCCCACAUAGCCUGGUUCCUCUCUAGGUUUCUUCCUAGGUUUUGGCCUUUCUAGGGAGUUUUUCCUAGCCACCGUGCUUCUACACCUGCAUUGCUUGCUGUUUGGGGUUUUAGGCUGUGUUUCUGUAUAGCACUUUGAGAUAUCAGCUGAUGUACGAAGGGCUAUAUAAAUACAUUUGAAUUGAA